GUUUUAAUAGUUUAAAAUAAAACAUCGGUCUUGUAAGUCGAAGAUAAGGAUUAUCCUUUUAAAACA
rnacentral:tRNA from 1 species